CCAGAUCUCCAUGGAAGAUGAAGAAGUCCUCGGGGAUCUGCUGGAUGCGGUUGCCGGCCACUAGCAGCUUGCGCACGUCCAGCGGGAAGGGAUCGGGCACGCUAGGAAGCCCGCGAUCGCGACAGUCCACCGUGUGGGGGUGGAGACCGCGGAGGGAGCCCAGCGCGACCCUACUCGGGCGGGGAAUUGGGACCUGUCGCACAGACCUGGCCAGCGGUGCUCAAGACUAAGUUCAGUGACGGAUCCCUGGAGCGAUUUCCAUGGGGCGUGUCUGGGGCAUGCGCCCGGAGCGCCACCCUCGCCUUUGCCAAAGGGGCCCAGGUCACUCUAGCUCCAAGUCUGGGACAAAGCCCGAAGGCUGUCAAGUCCUCGCCUGGGGCUGCGAAGCUGAGAAUUGGCUAGACUCCAGGAUAGCUGGGCUUCCCUCCGACCCCCUCCUUCCUCCCACCUGCUUUUGUCCCACCUCCUGCAGGAGGAGAGUGUGAGCCUGGCGGGUGGCUGCCAAGGUCCGGCUGUGACUGAAAGGAUAGCCAGGGCCAGGACCAGUCAGCGUUUUCCACGCUGGUCCUGAGCUUGGAGAUAGAACUGAUUAUCCUCCCAGCACGGAUCUUCUGUGGCUCUGAGCAAAGCCAAAGCAAGAGGCACUGGGGCAGUUUGGAGGAGAGUGACCUGGAACCGGGGUCCCUAGUGGCCCCUGACCUCCUGUCGAAUCAUCUGUGAAAAGGCAUGGGUAGAGACGUCUCUCCACUCCCUUCGAGGACUGAGGAAGGCCAGAAACAGUGUUUGGGAGUUACCAAGUCUUCUUUCCCCAUCAACCCUUCAUUUUGAUGGCCCAGGAAAGUAAUCUGGUCAGAGAGAGAUGCCAACGCUUAGAGCCCAGCUCCACAGAGGUGAGGUUGGUCUUAGAGGGUGAUAGAAUUCCUUCCUUGCUGUUCCUCAAGUCAACGCCCUGUUCUACUCCCAACCCCUGAAUGUUUUUCUUUUGGAAAAGCCCCUAUGGUGCUACAGGGAAAUUGCCCUGCAGGUGGCUAUUUUAAUCCCAACACCCUGGAACGGAAAAGCUCAGCCCCUGGCCCAAAAUAACCCACAGAACAGCUGUCGGUUACUGGCCCCCACUGACCCUGCCCCAGCCCCUGGCACUGCUGGGGAUUGGUGGAGCCAGCUAUUCCGAAGUCUCAGAGCUAAGUCUGGGUAUUUUUCCCAGUUUGGAAGGGAGUUGGCUGACCUCUUUUUCCAGUUUGAAAGCCAGUUGGUGCCUCUGAGCCAGGGAUCGGGCAGUUGAGCCUUUGGGGCAGAGCCAAAGGCCCCAGAACUUUCAUGAGUUCCAGGAGGGGCUGGGUGUCAGGCCCCCUCAAUCACUCCUCCCUUGCACACACCCUGGCUACCAAGCUAGACCUGCAGCCCCUGUCUUGCACCCACCCCUCUCCAUAAUGUCUUGCAGUUCCCGGUUUCAGGGGCUCUGCCUUCUGAAGAGGGUGGAAUGGAUCGGGGUGGGUGAAGGUAUCUUAGCCACAUUGAUGCUGUUAAUGGUGCAAGAAGAGCAUGUGCCACCACCCUAAACUCUGCAAAAGCACCCUGAAAAGAGAUCUCUUGCUCUCUUUCAGCCUCGGGUUCUGUUCUGGGCUGAGCAAUACCAUCGCUCCUGACGGAGCUGUAGGUCUAAGUGUACACAGGCGUCUUCCUGUCAAGGGGUCUGGCUAACUGCGGCUCUGCACUGUGAGUCAGAUCCCAGUCCUUCCCCUGGUGUCUGGACCUGAUCCUGCCGCUGCCUACAGAGCCAUAGGGGGGUUGCCUCCAUCUUUUUGGAGAUAGCCCAGACCUUGUCUGUUAAAAUUCAGCCUUGUGAGAGGUGGGCUUUCACCUCAGAAGAGGAUACCCAGAGUAAACAUGGCACUCACUCACGGGUGGCUUUAUUCAGCAGCAACAGUCCCCUUUUAUCUAGAAUGUGCACAGUGUUUAGCCAAUGAUAACUCACAAAACAGGGCCAUGCUCGAUGGCAAAAUAAUGCAAGGGGACUCCGGGGACAAAACAGCUGAGAGAUGCCUCUCCUUGGCUGUAACUCUCUUGUCCUGAAAUUAAGAGGAAAUGUUUCCUCUGCCCUUGCACAGACAGUGUGAGGGCAUGAGGGAAAUUAUUUGUGUGGAAACGUGACUUGGAAAAUGUUGUAGAAACCACGCGUGGCUUCUAUGGAGUGGCCACAAAUCUCCCUGUCGGGAACUCCUUGCUUUUUGCUUUGAGUGUCUCCCAAAGUCCCCUGGAUCCUAAUCUGACUUGUUUUCUUUAUUAAUUAACAUCAGCAGGACAUGAGCAGGUUGAGGCUCAGGAGAAUCAGGAGGCACCCCCAUGCCAUAGGACUCUCAUUCCUUGGGAAAAUAAAAGCUUUGCCAUCUCUGAUAUUUCUUCCUCUUGCAAGAAACACAAAACCAUGACCUGAGCAAGGUCAUCCGUGAGUCAGGGAUAAGAGCUGGGAAUAGAAUGUGGGCAUUGUGGGUCCCCACUUGGCCACUCACCCACUCUUCCCGGACCCACGUGGGACAAACCUCUUAGGGAGAGGACAAAAUGCAAAUAAAGAGGCCUGAAGAAGCUUUCAGAGUGUCUGUCUGUCAGGAGUGUUCCUGUGUUUACUCUUAGAGGUAACAAACAUACCAAGAUUCCUACUCAAGAGACUCUAAAUGGGAUAUAAAAUACCCAAGGUAUUCUGGUGGAUGUUUAAAAAAAAACAACAACCUAACAUUCAGGUCAUUGAAAUAGCUCAGUGGAUCAAGGUGCUUUCUAUCAAGCAGGAUGAACUGAGUUCGAUCCCUGGGACCUAGAAGGUUGAAGGAGAGAGAACAACUCCUACAAGUUGUCCUCUGAGCUGCAGAGGAACGCUGUAGUACAUGUGUGCCUACACAUAUACCUGUACACAUACAUGCUGACACACUAAAUACAGGAAUGUAAUUUAAUGUCUAAAAAUGUCCUAUUGCUUGCAUUAACAUCUUUAUUUCAUGCGUAUGCACAUUUUGCCUGCAUGUAUGUCCAUGCACUACUUGUGUGACUACUGCCCAAGGCGGGUCAGACGAGGACUUGAACCCUUGGGAACUGGAUUUACAGAUGAUUGUGAGCUGGAAAUCAAACCCAACUCCUCCAGAGGAGCAGCCAGUGCUCUUUUUUUUUUUUUUUUUUCUUUUUCUUUUUUUUCUGGAGCUGGGGACCGAACCCAGGGCCUUGCGCUUGCUAGGCAAGCGCUCUACCACUGAGCUAAAUCCCCAACCCCGCAGCCAGUGCUCUUAACUGCCGAGCCAUGUCUCCACUCCAGCUCCAUAUAUAUAUAUAUAUAUAUAUACACAUACAUACAUAUAUACAUAUAUAUACAUAUAUAUAUUAAUAUAGGGUCUCAUUCUGCCUUUCCCCUCCUCCCUUCCACCCCUCAUCCCUAAACCUCCCUGUACUGUACUUCCCAAUCUUUAUUCAGAGAUCUUUCUGUCCUGUCCUUUUCCCAACCUUCUCCAUUAACCAGGAGGCGAGGUCCAGGGUAGCUGCAUGCACAGAAAUCCCCUGGAAAUCCCCCAGUGGGGCCAGGAUCCCGAGAGCAAAACCAAUCCAACAGACUGGCUUCCCCUUUUUGUUGCCAGGCUGACAUCUGAAUUAGCCAAAGUCCCAGGCCUUGACUCGUAAGCGAGAUGAUGCCAGUACGUCGAAGGCUGUGUUGGAAUCAUAAAAAUUGUGGCUUGUGUUGGGUGAUGUCAUUUGGAUUACUGGUGUGAAUCACUUUUUGAUCAGAGCCUGGCUGCCAGGGCAGGAGGCAUGAGGACAUCCCCUUGUCCCCCAGGGAUGAGAACAUACUCUAGCCCUUUUCCUGAAGCAGCUUGACACGUAGAUGUCUGUGUCCCUUACUUAAGGAUUCAACUCAACUCCCGACACUUCUGCACCACCACCACCAGGGGGUGCUAUGUGCCGCUCUCGCAGGUUCCAAGAGGGAACUGGAGGCAGGUAUUUCUUCUACACACACACACACACACACACACACACACACACACACACACACUGCACUUUACUCAGUAGCUUGCUUGGUCUGAGCAUGAGAACGUUAGGAUUUGUGUGGGACUCAGGACAUGGGAUCAGUCCAUUGGCCUGGCACCUUCUGUAUUCAUAGCCGGUGCUCCUAAUGCCAGCCAAGCAUCCGUCAAGUGUGUGGCCUCAUGUAGGGCUGGAGGAAGUUGGGGUUAACGGCAUCCUAUCUGUUCCACGGAAAGCAUUAGUCCUAGGCAACAUCAUCCUAUGGGCAAGACAUGCUCCAACAAGCCAUGGUGUUACUCGCCCCCAAUUCCGCUCCACCUGUCCUCAUCUCCUAUCCACUGACAAGACCCCUUCCCCAUUAUCUCCUUACCCAAGCCACACAGCCUGCUAACUCUCACCAGAAGUCUACUCCUGCCCAACCCCCAACUCCUGACUCCAAUAGUCAAGGACGCCAAAGUGACCAUUGAAAAUAUACAUGAGAAUAUGUCGCCCCCUGCUCAGAUGCUGCCGAUGGGUUCCUGUGUGUGACAGAAAGAUUUCUAAGAUCUCGGGAUCGCGCCCCCAGGCGUUCCUCGAGUGAGGGUGGACGGAACCUGUGGCUUGUUUCUGCCAGACAGCUCACAGCAAUGGAGGAUAUCACAUCUGAGACUGGGUGACAAAGGACAGUGGUUUCAUUCUGCGUUGCCAGCAGACUGUCACCAUCUUGGCUUGCACAGUUUGAUGGAGCAAGCUGCCAGCUUGGAGUGGCCCACAUGGCAAUGAUCGGAGGGUGACCUCAGAGCAACGGCCCACAAGGAACGGAGCCGGCCAACAUCUGCAGGAGCUUAAAGCGGAGCCUUCCAAGUUGAGCCUGAAGCUGUCCACAGGCCCAACCCAAAGUGCUUUCUUACUCAGAAAAAAUGUAUACAAAGCCACGGUUAGUUUUAAGCUACUAAAUGGGAAUGGGGGUGCGUUUUGUUAUACAGCAGUAGCUAACUAAUACAGCCACUUUUAAUAAAAAUCUCGCCAGGCCUGGCUCUAUGUAUCUUU